rnacentral:rRNA from 1 species
AUGUUUAGGUACGAAAGCUUGGAGCAAGCACCGCCGACUCCAUCACCGCCCGCUCCUCCCACUCCUCUCCUGCACAUUCCGUUAGAGAUGCCGCUCCCGUACAUGUACGAGACCUUCCCCGAGCUGCUGCUGCCGGUGGGAUCUGUCUCAGACGAGGUCCUAGAGGCGAUGAGGGCAAAGCGGUGGCACGAGAGGGCAGAGCGGAUCCUCGACGAUGUCACGGGUUGGUCGCAGAGCGUGAAGGAGUGGAAGAAAGUGAAGGCAGAGAUGGAGGCAGAUCCAAGUAUCUACCGUGUCCGCCGGGAAGCGUGCAUUGAAGUUGCGCAAAAUUACACCAACUAUCUCCUGAGCAAUUUGGGCCGGAGAAUCUACUUCGAGAGCAAUGCGGAGGAGAGAGCCAGGAUGCCGCCCCCAAGUGCAUCUGCGUUCGAUAUCAUCAACUGGGGAAGGGCGGAGGCGAAAACUCCAGCGGGCAGGGCAAGAUGA